GACGAACCGUCCAAACGUUAUUCGGUAUCACUGGGCUUAAAGAGUUCGUAGGCGGCUCCACAAGUCAGGUGUGAAAUCCCACAGCUCAACUGUGGAACUGCGCUUGAAACCGUGUGGCUUGAGGGAGAUAGAGGUGAGCGGAACAGAUGGUGGAGCGGUGAAAUGUGUAGAUAUCAUCUGGAACACCGAUGGCGAAAGCGGCUCACUGGAUCUUUACUGACGCUGAGGAACGAAAGCUUGGGUAGCGAACGGG
rnacentral:rRNA from 1 species